UCAGUCGACUCCUACGGGGAGGCAGCAGUGGGGGAAUAUUGCACAAUGGGCGCAAGCCUGAUGCAGCCAUGCCGCGUGUGUGAAGAAGGCCUUCGGGUGUAAAGCACUUUCAGUCGUGAGGAAGGUAGUGUAGUUAACACCUGCAUUAUUUGACGUUACCUACAGAAGAAGCACCGGCUAACUCCGUGCCAGCAGCCGCGGUAAUACGGAGGGUGCGAGCGUUAAUCGGAAUUACUGGGCGUAAAGCGCAUGCAGGCGGCCUGUUAAGUCAGAUGUGAAAGCCCGGGGCUUAACCUCGGAAUUGCAUUUGAAACUGGCAGGCUAGAGUCUUGUAGAGGGGGGUAGGAAUUUCAGGUGUAGCGGUGAAAUGCGUAGAGAUCUGAAGGAAUACCGGUGGCGAAGGCGCCCCCCUCGGACAGAUACUGACACUCAGAUGCGAAAGCGUGGGGAGCAAACAGGAUUAGAUACCCUGGUAG
rnacentral:rRNA from 1 species